GAUGAACGCUGGCGGCGUGCCUAAUACAUGUAAGUCGAGCGAACCUCUUCGGAGGUUAGCGGCGGACGGGUGAGUAACACGUGGGCAACCUACCUUGUAGAUGGGGAUAACAUCGAGAAAUCGGUGCUAAUACCGAAUAACACUUUUCUCCACAUGGAGAAAAGUUAAAAGUUGGCUUUUGCUAACACUACAAGAUGGGCCCGCGGCGCAUUAGCUAGUUGGUGAGGUAACGGCUCACCAAGGCGACGAUGCGUAGCCGACCUGAGAGGGUGAUCGGCCACACUGGGACUGAGACACGGCCCAGACUCCUACGGGAGGCAGCAGUAGGGAAUCUUCCGCAAUGGACGAAAGUCUGACGGAGCAACGCCGCGUGAGUGAUGAAGGCCUUCGGGUCGUAAAACUCUGUUGUUAGGGAAGAACAAGUACCGUUCGAAUAGGGCGGUACCGUGACGAUACCUAACCAGAAAGCCACGGCUAACUACGUGCCAGCCGCCGCAGUAACAC
rnacentral:rRNA from 1 species